rnacentral:rRNA from 1 species
UGAGGAAUAUUGCGCAAUGGAGGAAACUCUGACGCAGCCACGCCGCGUGAAGGAAGACACCCCUAUGGGGCGUAAACUUCUUUUAUAUGGGAAGAAGAUCUGACGGUACCAUAUGAAUAAGCACCGGCUAACUCCGUGCCAGCAGCCGCGGUAAUACGGAGGGUGCAAGCGUUGUCCGGAAUCACUGGGUGUAAAGGGUGUGUAGGCGGGGUCGUAAGUCAGAGGUGAAAGCCUGCAGCUUAACUGUAGAAUUGCCUUUGAUACUGCGACUCUUGAGUCUCGGAGGGGUCACUGGAAUUCGUGGUGUAGCGGUGAAAUGCGUAGAUAUCACGAGGAACACCAGAGGCGUAGGCGGGUGACUGGACGAGUACUGACGCUGAGGCACGAAAGCGUGGGGAGCAAACAGGAUUAGAUACCCCCGUAGUCC